AUGGACCUAACAGAAGCAGAAGAUAUUAAGAAGAGGUGGCAAGAAUACAUGGAAGAACUGUACAAAAAAGAUCUUCAUGACCCAGAUAGUCAUGAUGAUGUGAUCACUAAUCUAGAACCAGACAUCCUGGAAUGUGAAGUAAAGUGGGCCUUAGAAAGCAUCACUACGAACAAAGCUAGCGGAGGUGAUGGAAUUCCAGUUAAGCUAUUUCAAAUCCUGAAAGAUGAUGCUGUGAAAGUGUUGCACUCAAUAUGCCAGCAAAUUUGGAAAACCCAGCAGUGGCCACAGGACUGGAAAAGAUCAGUUAUCAUUCCAAUCCCAAAGAAAGGCAUUGUCAAAGAAUGCUCAAACUACUGCACAAUUGCACUCAUCACACAUGCUAGUAAAGUAAUGCUUAAAAUUCUCCAAGCCAGGCUUCAGCAAUACGUGAACCGUGAACUCCCUGAUGUUCAAGCUGGUUUUAGAAAAGGCAGAGGAACCAGAGAUCAAAUUGCCAACAUCUGCUGGAUCAUGGAAAAAGCAAGAGAGUUCCAGAGAAACAUCUAUUUCUGCUUUAUUGACUAUGCCAAAGCCUUUGACUGUGUGGAUCACAAUCAACUGUGGAAAAUUCUGAAAGAAAUGGGAAUACCAGACCACCUAACUUGCCUCUUGAGAAAUCUGUAUGCAGGUCAGGAAGCAACAGUUAGAACUGGACAUGGAACAACAGACUGGUUCCAAAUUGGGAAAGGAGUAUGUCAAGGCUAUAUAUUGUCACCCUGCUUAUUUAACUUCUAUGCAGAGUACAUCAUGAGAAAGGCUGGACUGGAAGAAACACAAGCUGGAAUCAAGACUGCCGGGAGAAAUAUCAAUAACCUCAGAUAUGCAGAUGACACCACCCUUAUGGCAGAAAGUGAAGAGGAGCUAAAAAGCCUCUUGAUGAAAGUGAAAGAGGAGAGUGAAAAAGUUGGCUUAAAGCUCAACAUUCAGGAAAUGAAGAUCAUGGCAUCUGGUCCCAUCACUUCAUGGGAAAUAGAUGGGGAAACAGUGUCAGACUUUAUUUUUUUGGGCUCCAGAAUCACUGCAGAUGGUGACUGCAGCCAUGAAAUUAAAAGACACUUACUCCUUGGAAGAAAACUUAUGAUCAACCUAGAUAACAUAUUCAAAAGGAGAGACAUUUCUUUGCCGACUAUGGUCUGUCUAGUCAAGGCUAUGGUUUUUCCUGUGGUCAUGUAUGGAUGUGAGAGCUGGACUGUGAAGAAGGCUGAGUGCCAAAGAAUUGAUGCUUUUGAACUGUGGUGUUGA
rnacentral:lncRNA from 1 species